rnacentral:rRNA from 1 species
UCCCGNUGCCAGCAGCCGCGGUAAUACGGGAGGUGGCAAGCGUUAUCCGGAAUUAUUGGGCGUAAAGCGUCCGCAGGCGNNNUUCAAGUCUGCUNUAAAACGUGGAGCUUAACUCCAUCAUGGCAGUGGAAACUGUUGGGCUUGAGUGUGGUAGGGGCAGAGGGAAUUCCCGGUGUAGCGGUGAAAUGCGUAGAUAUCGGGAAGAACACCAGUGGCGAAGGCGCUCUGCUGGGCCAUAACUGACGCUCAUGGACGAAAGCCAGGGGAGCGAAAGGGAUUAGAUACCCCUGUAGUCCUGGCCGUAAACGAUGAACACUAGGUGUCGGGGGAAUCGACCCCCUCGGUGUCGUAGCCAACGCGUUAAGUGUUCCGCCUGGGGAGUACGCACGCAAGUGUGAAACUCAAAGGAAUUGACGGGGGCCCGCACAAGCGGUGGAGUAUGUGGUUUAAUUCGAUGCAACGCGAAGAACCUUACCAGGGUUUGACAUCCUGCGAACCUCUUGGAAACGAGAGGGUGCCUUCGGGAGCGCAGUGACAGGUGGUGCAUGGCUGUCGUCAGCUCGUGUCGUGAGAUGUUGGGUUAAGUCCCGCAACGAGCGCAACCCACGUCUUUAGUUGCCAGCAUUUAGUUGGGCACUCUAGAGAGACCGCCGGUGAUAAACCGGAGGAAGGUGUGGAUGACGUCAAGUCAUCAUGCCCCUUACAUCCUGGGCUACACACGUACUACAAUGCUACGGACAAAGAGCAGCAAGUUCGCGAGGACAAGCAAAUCUCAUAAACCGUGGCUCAGUUCAGAUCGUAGGCUGCAACUCGCCUACGUGAAGGAGGAAUCGCUAGUAAUCGCAGGUCAGCAUACUGCGGUGAAUACGUUCCCGGGCCUUGUACACACCGCCCGUCACACCAUGGAAGUUGGCCACGCCCGAAGCCGUUACUCCAACCCUUGUGGAGGAGGACGUCGAAGGUGGGGCUGAUGACUGGGGUGAAGUCGUAACAAGGUAACCGUA